rnacentral:rRNA from 1 species
AGUCAAUAGAUACCCGGGUAGUCCCAGCUGUAAACGGUGCGCGUUAGGUGUAUCGGUGACCACGAGUUACCGAGGUGCCGAAAGGGAAAACCGUGAAACGCGCCGCCUGGGAAGUACGGUCGCAAGGCUGAAACUUAAAGGAAUUGGCGGGGGAGCACUACAACGGGUGGAGCCUGCGGUUUAAUCGGACUCAACGCCGGGAAGCUCACCGGAUAAGACAGCUGGAUGAUAGCCGGGCUGAAGACUCUGCUUGGCUAGCUGAGAGGAGGUGCAUGGCCGUCGUCAGUUCGUACUGUGAAGCAUCCUGUUAAGUCAGGCAACGAGCGAGACCCACGCCAACAGUUGCCAGCUUGUCCUCAGGGAUGAAGGGGACACUGUUGGGACCGCCUCUGCUAAAGAGGAGGAAGGAAUGGGCAACGGUAGGUCAGCAUGCCCCGAAUUAUCCGGGCUACACGCGGGCUACAAUGGCCAGGACAAUGGGAAUCGACACCGAAAGGUGAAGGCAAUCUCCUAAACCUGGUC